rnacentral:rRNA from 1 species
AGUGAACGCUGGCGGUAGGCCUAACACAUGCAAGUCGAACGGCAGCACAGUAAGAGCUUGCUCUUACGGGUGGCGAGUGGCGGACGGGUGAGGCAUACAUCGGAUUCUACUUUUUCGUGGGGGAUAACGUAGGGAAACUUACGCUAAUACCGCAUACGACCUACGGGUUAAAGCAGGGGAUCUUCGGACCUUGCGCGAUUGAAUGAGCCGAUGUCGGAUUAGCUAGUUGGCGGGGUAAAGGCCCACCAAGGCGACGAUCCGUAGCUGGUCUGAGAGGAUGAUCAGCCACACUGGAACUGAGACACGGUCCAGACUCCUACGGGAGGCAGCAGUGGGGAAUAUUGGACAAAGGGCGCAAGCCUGAUCCAGCCAUACCGCGUGGGUGAAGAAGGCCUUCGGGUUGUAAAGCCCUUUUGUUGGGAAAGAAAAGCAGCAGGUUAAUACCCCGCUGUUCUGACGGUACCCAAAGAAUAAGCACCGGCUAACUUCGUG